rnacentral:rRNA from 1 species
CCCUUAGAUGCUCUGGGCCGCACGCGCGCUACACUGGUCGAUGCAACGAGUUUCUUUCCUUGGCCGACAGGCCUGGGCAAUCUUUGAACAUCGAUCGUGAUCGGGAUAGAUUCUUGUAAUUUUUGAUCUUAAACGAGGAAUUCCUAGUAAACGCAAGUCAUCAGCUUGCAUUGAUUACGUCCCUGCCCUUUGUACACACCGCCCGUCGCACCUACCGAUUGGGUGUGCUGGUGAAAUGUUCGGAUCGGCCGUUUGUCGCGGUUUCCGCGUCAUGUGGCUGAGAAGUUCAUUAAACCCUCCCACCUAGAGGAAGGAGAAGUCGUAACA